GACGAACGCUGGCGGCGUGCUUAACACAUGCAAGUCGAACGCUGAAGACCGAGCUUGCUCGGUCUGAUUAGUGGCGAACGGGUGAGUAACACGUGAGUAACCUGCCCUUCACUCUGGGAUAACUUCGGGAAACGGGGGCUAAUACCGGAUAUGAGCUCCUGUUGCAUGGCGGGUGUUGGAAAGUUUCUCGUUGAAGGAUGGGAUCGCGGCCUGCGUUGUUGUUGGUGGGGGGGUGGGUCACCAAGGCGAUGACGGGUAGCCGGCCUGAGAGGGCGACCGGCCACACUGGGACUGAGACACGGCCCAGACUCCUACGGGAGGCAGCAGUGGGGAAUAUUGCACAAUGGGCGAAAGCCUUAUGCAGCGACGCCGCGUGAGGGAUGACGGCCUUCGGGUUGUAAACCGCUUUCGGCAGGGAAGAAGCGAAAGUGACGGUACCUGCAGAAGAAGCGCCGGCUAACUACGUG
rnacentral:rRNA from 1 species